rnacentral:rRNA from 1 species
AACGGGUGAGUAACGCGUGAGGAACCUGCCUCAAAGAGGGGGACAACAGUUGGAAACGACUGCUAAUACCGCAUAAGCCCACGGCUCGGCAUCGAGCAGAGGGAAAAGGAGUGAUCCGCUUUGAGAUGGCCUCGCGUCCGAUUAGCUAGUUGGUGAGGUAACGGCCCACCAAGGCAACGAUCGGUAGCCGGACUGAGAGGUUGAACGGCCACAUUGGGACUGAGACACGGCCCAGACUCCUACGGGAGGCAGCAUG